rnacentral:lncRNA from 1 species
GUAUUUUUAGAUAUGUCAUAAUUUCUAGCUUCUUUCAGUAAAUGGAAUUAUGAUCAUGCAAAUACAAUUUUAGUAUUUGUUUUUUUAUGAAUAUUUUUUUGCCAGCUGACUUAAUAACAUUGCUAUCAUGUGGAAAUUUCAAGCAUUUUUGCCCAUUUCGUUCACUGUUUGUUGAGAAUCCAUGGCUUAACUCACUGUGUUCAUUUUUAUGAUCAAUUUACAUGCAUAUAAGA